rnacentral:rRNA from 1 species
UACGGAGGAUGCAAGCGUUAUCCGGAUUUAUUGGGUUUAAAGGGUGCGCAGGUUGUUUGAUAAGUCAGUGGUGAAAUUUCGGGGCUCAACCCCGGGCGUGCCGUUGAAACUGAGGUUCUUGAGUACAGUGAAAGCAAGCGGAAUUUGUGGUGUAGCGGUGAAAUGCAUAGAUAUCACGAGGAAUGCCUAUUGCGAAAGCAGCUUGCUAUUCUGGCACUGACGCUCAAGCACGAAAGCGUGGGUAUCAAACAGGAUUAGA